rnacentral:tRNA from 1 species
CGGGGAGUAGCGCAGCCUGGUUAGCGCGUCCGGCUGGGGGCCGGGAGGUCGCGAGUUCGAAUCUCGCCUCCCCGA